rnacentral:rRNA from 1 species
AGAGUGAACGCUGGCGGUAGGCCUAACACAUGCAAGUCGAACGGCAGCACAGUAGGAGCUUGCUCUUACGGGUGGCGAGUGGCGGACGGGUGAGGAAUACAUCGGAAUCUACCUUUUGGUGGGGGAUAACGUAGGGAAACUUACGCUAAUACCGCAUACGCCCUUCGGGGGAAAGCCGGGGACCAGCAAUGGCCUGGUGCUGAUAGAUGAGCCGAUGUCGGAUUAGCUAGUU